GGUGAACGCUGGCGGCGUGCUUAACACAUGCAAGUCGAACGGACAUUUUUUGGAAAGCUCUUCGGAACUGGAAUCUAAAUGUUAGUGGCGGACGGGUGAGUAACGCGUGAGCAAUCUGCCUUUCAGAGGGGGAUAACAGCCGGAAACGGCUGCUAAUACCGCAUAAUGCAUUGGAUUCGCAUGUUUCUGAUGCCAAAGAUUUUAUCGCUGAAAGAUGAGCUCGCGUCUGAUUAGGUAGUUGGUGGGGUAACGGCCUACCAAGCCGACGAUCAGUAGCCGACCUGAGAGGGUGAUCGGCCACAUUGGGACUGAGACACGGCCCAA
rnacentral:rRNA from 1 species